ACAACUUUUAACAAUAGAUCUCUUAGUUCUAGUAUUAAUAAAGAACGGAGAGAAAUGCGAUAAGUAGUGUAAAUUGUAGAAUUUAGUAAAUUAUUAAAUCUUUAAACGUAUAUUACGCCCCUUAGUAUUCUAUAGGGCAUACCUAUUUAAGCGUUAUUUGUACCCUUAAGCUCUGCUUAGUGUUAGGUGUUUGUUCUACUUAGGACUCGCCUUAAAACAAUUGGUAGCUAGCAUAUUAGCCUAGAGCGCAGCACAUUUUGCGCCUCUUAUUAUAGUUAUUAGUAUCUAUUAAGACACUUUUUAAGCUCUUAACCUUAGAUUAGGUAGGGAUACCUGCUAAACUUAAGCAUAUUAAUAAGCAGAGGAAAAGAAACUAAUAGGGAUUGCCCUAGUAAUAGCGAGUGAAGCGGCAACAGCUUAAAUUUAAAAUCUAGCUCUUUUAGGGUCCAAGUUAUAAUUUGCAGAGGGCGCUUUAGCAUUAGCAGUGGUCUAAGUUCCUUAGAAUAGGACGUUAUAGAGGGUAAGAAUCCUAUACGUAGUCGCUAGCCUUCGCCGUGUAAAGCCCCUUUAACAAGUUAAGUUAUUUAGGAAUAUAGCUCUAAAUAGGAGGUAAAUUUCUUCUAAAGCUAAAUACUAGCUAGAGACUAAUAGCGCACAAGUAGAGUAAUUAAAAGAUAAAAAGCACUUUAGAAAGAGAGUUAAAUAGCACGUGAAAUUGUUAAAAGGGAAGCGCUUGCAGCUAGACUUGCCUGUAGUUACUUAUCUAGGCUUUUAUCUAGUGCACUCUUCUAUAGGCAGGCUAGUAUUAGUUUAGGUGGUUAGAUAAAGGUCUCUGUCACGUACCUCCCUUUAGGGAGGCCUUAUAGGGGAGACGACAUGUAACUAGCCUAGACUAAGGUCCACGCAUCUGCUAGGAUGCUAGCGUAAUAGCUAUAAGCGGCCUGUCUUAAAACAUAGACUAAGGAGUCUAACAUCUAUGCAAGUGUUUAGGUGUUAAGCCUAGACGCGUAAUAAAAGUAAACAGAGGUAGGAACCCUUUUAGGGUGCACUAUUAACUAAUCCUAAUAUCUUUAGAAGGAUUUAAGUAAGAGCAUAGCUAUUAGGACCUAAAAGAUAGUAAACUAUGCUUAAAUAGGGUGAAGCUAGAGGAAACUCUAGUAGAGGCUCGCAGCAGUUCUAACGUGCAAAUUAAUUGUUAAAUUUAGGUAUAGGGGCAAAAGACUAAUCAAACUAUCUAGUAGCUAGUUCCUGCUAAAGUUUCCCUUAGGAUAGCAGUAACGUAUUUAGUUUUAUAAGGUAAAGCGAAUAAUUAGAGGCCUAGGGGUUAAAACAACCUUUACCUAUUCUUAAACUUUAAAUAUAUAAGAAGUCCUUAUUACUUAAUUAAACAUAGACACUUAAAUAUACUAUUACUAGUAGGCUAUUUUUAGUAAGCAGAACUAGCAAUAUAGGAUAAACUAAAUGUAGGGUUAAGGUGCUAGAAUACACACUUAUUAGACACUACAAAAGGUGUUAGUUUAUCUAGAUAGCAGGACAGUAGCUAUAGAAGUUAGAAUCCACUAAGGAGUGUGUAACAACUUACCUACUAAAUAAACUAGCCCUAAAAAUAGAUGGCGCUUAAGCGUGUUACCUAUACCCCGCCGCUAGGGCAAGAUUUAAGCCCUAGCAAGUAGGUAGGCGUAGAGGCUUGUAACAAAGCCUUAGGGGUAACCCUAGGUAGAAUAGCCUCUAGUGCAGAUCUUAGUAGUAGUAGCAAAUACUUAAAUAAGAACUUUAAGGACUAAAGUAGGGAAAGGUUCUAUGUAAACAGCAGUUAGACACAGGUUAGUUAAUCCUAAGAGAUAGGGUAAUUCUGUUUUAAUAUUAGUGCUUGCGCCGCGCCCUUAAAAGGGAAGCUAGUUAAUAUUCUAGCACCUAGAUGUAGAUUCUCCGCGGCAACGCAACUAAGAGCGGAGACCUUAGCAGGAGCCCUAAGAAGAGUUCUCUUUUCUUCUUAACAGUCUGUUACCCUAAAAUUAGUUUGUCUAGAGCUAGGGUUUAAUAGCUAGAAGAGCGCUGCACUUUUGCAGCGUUUAGUGCGCUCCUAACAAGCCUUAAAAAUCUACUUAAAGAAAUAGUUUUUACGCUAGGUUGUACUUAUAACCACAGCAGGUCUCUAAGGUAAAAAGCCUCUAGUUAAUAGAACAAUGUAGAUAAGGGAAGUUAGCAAAAUAGAUCUAUAACUUUAGGAAAAGGAUUAGCUCUAAGGGUUAGGUACGUUAGGCCUUAGGGAGAAGCCUCUAGCGUAGAAGGGCACUAACCGCAAGGUAGGCGCCUCUUAGCGCUAGGGUGCAGACACCCUUAGCAGGUUUUAGCCGUCUAGCGUACGUUUAACAACUAACUUAGAACUAGUAUAGAUAAGGGGAAUCUAACUAUCUAAUUAAAACAUAGCAUUGCAAUAGCUAGAAAGUAGUAUUAAUAUAAUAUAAUUUCUGCCUAGUGCUCUAAAUAUUAAAGCGAAGAGAUUUAACUAAGCGCAGGUAAAUAGCGGGAGUAACUAUAACUCUCUUAAGGUAGCUAAAUGCCUUAUUAUCUAAUUAGUAACGCGUAUAAAUAGAUUAACAAGAUUCCUACUAUCCCUAUCUACUAUCUAGCGAAACUACAGCUAAGGGAACAGGCUUAGCCAAAUUAGCAGGGAAAGAAGACCCUAUUAAGCUUAACUCUAGUUUAACAUUAUAAAAAGAUAUAGGGGGUGUAGAAUAGGUAGGAGCUUUAGUGCUAGUAAAAUACCACUACCCUUAUCGUUUUUUUACUUAUUCAAUAAAGCAGAGCUAGGCCUUACUACCUAACUUCUAGCGUUUAAGGUCCUUUGUAGGCUAAUCUAGGUUAAAGAUAUUGUUAGGUAGGGAGUUUAGCUAGGGCGGCAUAUCUAUUAAACUAUAACGCAGGUGUCCUAAGGGGGACUUAUAGAGAACAGAAAUCUCUAGUAGAGCAAAAGGGCAAAAGUCCCCUUAAUUUUGAUUUUUAGUGUGAAUACAAACUAUAAAAGUGUAGCCUAUUAAUCCUUUAGUCCCUUAAAAUUUAAGGCUAGAGGUGCUAGAAAAGUUACUAUAGGGAUAACUAGCUUGUGGCAGCCAAGCGUUCAUAGCAACGUUGCUUUUUAAUCCUUUAAUAUUAGCUCUUCCUAUUAUACUAAAGUAGAAUUUAGUAAGCGUUGGAUUGUUCACCUACUAAUAGGGAAUGUAAGCUAGGUUUAGACCGUCGUAAGACAGGUUAGUUUUACCCUACUAAUAACCUUGCCCUAAUAGUAAUACCGCUUAGUACAAGAGGAACCGCAGUUUUAGAUAAUUAGUUUUUGCGGCUAUCUAACUAGGCAUUGCUGCAAAGCUACUAUCUACUAGAUUAUAGCUAAACGCCUCUAAGUUAGAAUCCAUGCUAGAAUAGGGUAAUUUCCGCCUGCACUAGUUAGAUACAAAUAGGCCUUUGGCCUAGAACCUUACUAGAUUAGCGUUAGCAGCCCUAUUAAAGUUAGAGUUAUUAGCUAGUGUAUUAUAAUUAUAUAGUGCGCAGGAU
rnacentral:rRNA from 1 species